GGGCGGUUAGCUCAAUGGUAGAGCAGCGGCCUUUUAAGCCGUUGGUUCUGAGUUCGAGUCUCAGACCGCCCACCA
rnacentral:tRNA from 1 species